CACCACCUUUAGAAGGGAGAUACAAAAGCAUCGCUACCGCUAUGCAAGCACACGCAUAUAAAAAAAAAAAAAAAAGUCUGUCUUAGCUAGGCUACCAUAACCAAAAGCCCACCUGACCUGACGAUAGUUAUGUCUUGCGCAGACACCUGAAGGGAGCGGAGCAGCAAGACAAGGCACAAAGUAGACACGACAAGGAACACAAAGCCUGAGACCAAACCCUAC